rnacentral:rRNA from 1 species
UUGACCUCGGAUCAGGUAGGAAGACCCGCUGAACUUAAGCAUAUCAAUAAGCGGAGGAAAAGAAACCAACAGGGAUUGCCCUAGUAACGGCGAGUGAAGCGGCAACAGCUCAAAUUUGAAAUCUGGCUUCGGCCCGAGUUGUAAUUUGCAGAGGAAGCUUUAGGCGCGGCACCAACUGAGUCCCCUGGAACGGGGCGCCACAGAGGGUGAGAGCCCCGUAUAGUUGGACGCCUAGCCUGUGUAAAGCUCCUUCGACGAGUCGAGUAGUUUGGGAAUGCUGCUCAAAAUGGGAGGUAAAUUUCUUCUAAAGCUAAAUACCGGCCAGAGACCGAUAGCGCACAAGUAGAGUGAUCGAAAGAUGAAAAGCACUUUGAAAAGAGGGUUAAAUAGCACGUGAAAUUGUUGAAAGGGAAGCGCUUGUGACCAGACUUGCGCCCGGCUGAUCAUCCGGUGUUCUCACCGGUGCACUCUGCCGGGCUCAGGCCAGCAUCGGUUCUCGCGGGGGGAUAAAGGCCCUGGGAACGUAGCUCCUCCGGGAGUGUUAUAGCCCAGGGUGUAAUGCCC